AUGCUACACAGUGAAAUCCAAGUUGGUCCUCCAUCCAAGGUCUGCCAAAUUGUAGAGGUUUGUGCAUUGCUGCACAACAUCUGCAAAGCAAGAAACAUCAUUCUUCCUGAGAAAGAAGAACAUCUUGCCGCAGCCGAGGAUGGAGGCAACGAGGAGCGACCCCCAGCACAGAAAGUUCAAAGUCGCCAUGAAGGAAUCCUUUACAGGGAUGAAUUUGUUGUGCUUCACUUCAACAUUGCUGAGUGAUGAGACACCAGUGUCAUGACUGCUGAGAUUGGUGUUAUUCUCAUGUGGAUGAUCUCCUCCUCAUCCACAUACACCAGUGAUGUACCAGGCAAAUCUGGCCCCUGUUGGUGCCCCA